GCCCCCGGUCCAGCGCGGCGGGCUAGGCGUGAACCGGGUCAGGUCCGGAAGGAAGCAGCCCUAAGCGCCUUGGUCCGGGCGCCGCUGGGAAGCCGGGGGCGCUUCC
rnacentral:SRP_RNA from 1 species